CCUACGAGAGGCAGCAGUGGGGAAUAUUGGACAAUGGGCGAAAGCCUGAUCCAGCCAUGCCGCGUGUGUGAAGAAGGCCUUCGGGUUGUAAAGCACUUUCAGUGGGGAAGAAAGCCUUGGGGCUAAUACCCUCGAGGAAGGACAUCACCCACAGAAGAAGCACCGGCUAACUCCGUGCCAGCAGCCGCGGUAAUACGGAGGGUGCGAGCGUUAAUCGGAAUUACUGGGCGUAAAGCGCGCGUAGGCGGUCUGAUAAGCCGGUUGUGAAAGCCCCGGGCUCAACCUGGGAACGGCAUCCGGAACUGUCAGGCUAGAGUGCAGGAGAGGAAGGUAGAAUUCCCGGUGUAGCGGUGAAAUGCGUAGAGAUCGGGAGGAAUACCAGUGGCGAAGGCGGCCUUCUGGACUGACACUGACGCUGAGGUGCGAAAGCGUGGGUAGCAAACAGGAUUAGAUACCCCGGUAGUC
rnacentral:rRNA from 1 species